GAAAAGAAACCAACAGGGAUUGCCCUAGUAACGGCGAGUGAAGCGGCAACAGCUCAAAUUUGAAAUCUGGCUCUGUAAAAGAGUCCGAGUUGUAAUUUGUAGAGGGUGCUUUGGUGUUGGUAGCGGUCUAAGUUCCUUGGAACAGGACAUCACAGAGGGUGAGAAUCCCGUAUGUGGUCGCUAGCCUUCGCUCUGUAAAGCCCCUUCAACGAGUCGAGUUGUUUGGGAAUGCAGCUCUAAAUGGGAGGUAAAUUUCUUCUAAAGCUAAAUACUGGCCAGAGACCGAUAGCGCACAAGUAGAGUGAUCGAAAGAUGAAAAGCACUUUGGAAAGAGAGUCAAACAGCACGUGAAAUUGUUGAAAGGGAAGCGCUUGCCGCCAGACUUGCCUGCAGUUGCUCAUCUGGGCAUUGUGCCCUGUGCAUUCUUCUGCAAGCAGGCCAGCAUCAGUUUAGACAGUCAGAUAAGGGUCUCUGUCAUGUAUCUUUCUUCGGAAUGACCUUAUAGGGGGGGCGUAGUAUGGCUAGUCUAGACUGAGGUCCGCGCUUUUGCUAGGAUGCUGGCGUAAUGGCUGUAAGCGGCCCGUCUUGAAACACGGACCAAGGAGUCUAACAUCUAUGCGAGUGUUUGGGUGUCAAGCCCGGGCGCAUAAUAAAAGUGAACGGAGGUGGGAACCUUUUUGGUGCACCAUCGACCGAUCCUGAUGUCUUCGGAUGGAUUUGAGUAAGAGCAUAGCUGUUGGGACCCGAAAGAUGGUGAACUAUGCUUGAAUAGGGUGAAGCCAGAGGAAACUCUGGUGGAGGCUCGCAGCGGUUCUGACGUGCAAAUCGAUCGUCAAAUUUGGGCAUAGGGGCGAAAGACUAAU
rnacentral:rRNA from 1 species